GUCACAUAUUCUAAGAAAUAGACUGUACUCUCCUCAAAUCGAAAUAACGGCACUUUAAUUCUUGGAUUUUCCACAUUUUCGUUGGUAAAGCUCCUAUUUGCUUUCUCUGAAUCUGUAUCAGUUCAUGCAGUUCUGCCAAGUGGGGAAGCUUUGCAGGACACUGCCACUGUAGCACUUGAAAUAUUAAGAUGAACAGAACAAGCAAAAGGUGGGAAAACUGGAAAGAUUGAAUGUCCUUUGGAGUUCACAGAGGUUUGGCAGUGGGAGGAGAAAAACAAAACGAAGCAUAGUGGGAGUGUUGAACAGACUUUCCCAAGAUCCCCAGGGAAAUCAACAAAGAGUAUUGCUUUCUUGCAAAUUGGCAGGAAGGUUUCCAGCAUAAUGAAAGAGUGCAGAAAAAACAAGUUAAUUCAAGGAUAAAACUGUGAAUAAGUAGAAGAGAAGACUACACCAGGAAAAGAGACGGAGAUAGAGGCCCAAUAGAGAAAAGCAAAGCUACUACAAGAACUCACUACAUCAAUGCGUGUUCAUUAUUGAGAACAUCCUAGGAGAGCGUGCAUCAUCACAGGCUGCUCUGAGGUCUGUGCCCAAUCAAGCAAAGAACAACGGGGAUAAUCACACUGUGCAGAGGGUGACCAAUUUAGAAAAAAAGGACCCUUAAGAAGGUCUUCCAACUUCCUUAAAUGACUUUCAUUAAUUUUACACCUUUUGCCAAUUAAUUGCACUUAUGAGCCUUCCUUGUCAAUUACUGCAUUCUCAUUUUCGGCAAUUGAACUAAUCUUGGCCUAUUCAUAUUUUGUUUUUUAAAUAGGUAUUUCCAAUUAUUGAUAUAGAUCUUUAUAAUUACAUUACAAAUGUUUCACCAUAUUUAUUCAUUCUUUAUAGAGACAAAAUAAAGGUUCUAUCAUCUACACUUAAAACAUGUACUUUUUUCUUUACAGCACAACUUACAAUAUAC
rnacentral:lncRNA from 1 species